rnacentral:rRNA from 1 species
UGCCCUCAGGAGGGGGAUAACGGCUGGAAACGGCCGCUAAUACCCCAUAUGCCGAGAGGUGAAAUGAAUUUCGCCUGAGGAUGAGCCCGCGUCUGAUUAGCUAGUUGGUGAGGUAAGAGCUCACCAAGGCAUCGAUCAGUAGCUGGUCUGAGAGGAUGAUCAGCCACACUGGGACUGAGACACGGCCCAGACU